AGUGAACGCUGGCGGUAGGCCUAACACAUGCAAGUCGAACGGCAGCACAGUAAGAGCUUGCUCUUACGGGUGGCGAGUGGCGGACGGGUGAGGAAUACAUCGGAAUCUACUUUUUCGUGGGGGAUAACGUAGGGAAACUUACGCUAAUACCGCAUACGACCUACGGGUGAAAGCAGGGGAUCUUCGGACCUUGCGCGAUUGUAUGAGCCGAUGUCGGAUUAGCUAGUUGGCGGGGUAAAGGCCCACCAAGGCGACGAUCCGUAGCUGGUCUGAGAGGAUGAUCAGCCACACUGGAACUGAGACACGGUCCAGACUCCUACGGGAGGCAGCAGUGGGGAAUAUUGGACAAUGGGCGCAAGCCUGAUCCAGCCAUGCCGCGUGGGUGAAGAAGGCCUUCGGGUUGUAAAGCCCUUUUGUUGGGAAAGAAAAGCAGCAGGUUAAUACCCCGCUGUUCUGACGGUACCCAAAGAAUAAGCACCGGCUAACUUCGUG
rnacentral:rRNA from 1 species